rnacentral:misc_RNA from 1 species
CAGAGAUCAUGCCCUCACGGGUAGACCUCCCACCCUGUGUUAUUUACUAUUGUUGCUUUGGCAGGCCGCCUUCGGGCUCCCGGCUCCGGCUGGGGUGCGCCUGCCAGAGGACCCCGAACUCUGUGUUUAGUGUCGUCUGAGUACUAUAUAAUAAGUUA